CGGUGAAUACGUUCCCAGACCUUGUACACACCGCCCGUCAAGCCAUGGAAGCUGGGUGUACCUAAAGUCGAUAACCGUAAGGAGUCGCCUAGGGUAAAACUAGUAACUGGGGCU
rnacentral:rRNA from 1 species